rnacentral:tRNA from 1 species
AUUUAAGUAGUUUAUUUAGAAUAAUAAUUUGUGGUAUUGUAGGAAUAUUUAUAUCUUAAAUU